UACGGAGGGUGCAAGCGUUAAUCGGAAUUACUGGGCGUAAAGCGCACGCAGGCGGUCUGUUAAGUCAGAUGUGAAAUCCCCGGGCUCAACCCGGGAACUGCAUUUGAAACUGGCAGGCUUGAGUCUCGUAGAGGGGGGUAGAAUUCCAGGUGUAGCGGUGAAAUGCGUAGAGAUCUGGAGGAAUACCGGUGGCGAAGGCGGCCCCCUGGACGAAGACUGACGCUCAGGUGCGAAAGCCAGGGGAGCGAACGGG
rnacentral:rRNA from 1 species